rnacentral:rRNA from 1 species
GACGAACGCUGGCGGCGUGCUUAACACAUGCAAGUCGAACGAAGAGCGAUGGAAGCUUGCUUCUCUAAAUCUUAGUGGCGCACGGGUGAGUAACGCGUAAUCAACCUCCCCUUCAGAGGGGGACAACAGUUGGAAACGACUGCUAAUACCGCAUAAGAUCUAAUCUCGGCAUCGAGGAUAGAUGAACGGUGGUGCCUACAUGUAAGCUAUCACUGAAGGAGGGGAUUGCGUCUGAUUAGCUAGUUGGAUGGGUAACGGACCACCAAGGCGAUGAUCAGUAGCCGGUCUGAGAGGAGGAACGGCCACAUUGGGACUGAGACACGGCCCAGACUCCUACGGGAGGCAGCAGGGGGGAAUCUUCCGCAACGGACGAAAGGCUGACGGAGCAACGCCGCGUGAGUGAUGACGGCCUUCGGGUUGUAAAGCUCUGUUAAUCGGGACGAAAGGCCUUCUUGCGAAUAGUGAGAAGGAUUGACGGUACCGGAAUAGAAAGCCACGGCUAACUACGUG